GCGGCGGGGCGGGGCGGGGACCCGCCCGUGCGGGAGCUCCGCGCUGAGGGGCAGCGGGGCCCAGCCCCCCCCCCACGGCCCCGCUCCGGGCGGCGCCGCCCCGGGCGGGAAGCGCACCGGAACCUCCCGCCCGGCCCCCGCCGCACGCUCUCCGCCCGUCUCCCCGAGUCCGCUCCGAGCGCGGCGCGGCCGCCGCAGCGGGGAGCGAGGCCCGCGGUCCCCCGCAGCCUGCCGGGGCUCCCCGGAGAGGGGGCGCCACCACCGCCCCGCGGGACCGGCCGCCGCCGGGGGAGGGUGGGGGCCAGCGGAGUCCCGUCCCGUCCGGCGGCUCCGCUCCGCCCCGGUACCUGCCGCCUGUCCGUCCGUUCGUCCGCCCGCCGCCCGUCUGCAGAGGCCUGAGGGGCGGUUACGGACAAGGUGCGGUCCCAGAGCGGGCACGUCGCUUCUCAUCAUCUGGUUUGAAACAGCUCUGGAAAGCAACAGGCAGUAAGCAAAGCCCCAGAAAAGUUCCAAUGACAGGAGACUGAAGAAACAGUGGAUGGCAGAGAGUGCAUUUACUUUUUGAGGUCUGGUAAAACAACUGGUCAAGCGGCACAGUUGGAUCGUGGUGCAGCUGCAGUUGUGAGGCUGGAUUCCUGGCUCCAGAGCGAGCCAGGUGACUCAUCCUUUAAAGAGAACUGAACAAUCACCGAACGCUAUACAAAACGAUGAAGGACACUCAUGGAACCGCUGGAAGUGCUCAUCAUAAAAGAACAGCAUCAAAAUCCAAAUGGGCUGAAAAAGCCACUUGAUCUCUACUGUUCCUCUCUAGGACUAGUUGCGACACUGAGAGAUCAGGAGCGGGUUUCACGCGCUUACUGUAAUUUGCAAGUAUGUAUUUCACCAGUGUGUAAGAUCACUAAGUGAGGCAAAAGACAAUGCUCAUAUUAAUCACCACACUUCUGCAUAUUCUCUGCUGCUGCAGUCUAACCCACUUGUAAUAAUGGCACGCGAGGGCUGAGAAAACUCUCCAGCAUGUUUUGGAAAUUCUUUUGAUUUCUUCUGGAGGGGGAGAGGAGUAGGCAAGCAGAGAAAGGGGAAUCUGUAUUUAAAACCUGCAUAGGAAAAUUUAGGAGUCUGCCUACAAGUCCCAGACACAGCGGAUGAAGCCUCACAUCAGCUGUAACUCUCUGGCAGCUGCUUUGCUUGCAAUGGCCAGGGAGAAGGCUCCUUUCUACCAAGGGUGUGGGUGUGGAAUUGUAAUAGACGCUUCCAUAAACUGCUGUCUGCUCAAAUGUCAUGACGUUGGCUUUCUGCCCCAUUUUCAACUGCAGAGAACAGCAGAUGGGAGGGGCAGAAACAAUGAAGAUCCCUUUUUAACUCUCAGUUUGAAAAAUCUCCCAACUCUUUUCAGCAAAAUAGCUCUUCUCCUAACUAUUGUGAAUGGUAUUUUCUAGAUCCUACUGUGGAAAUUACAAUUACUUUACCAUAUACCUAACCUAAUCCUAAACCCCAAGAAUUUUACAGUGUGUGCAAUAGGGAGCAAAGAAGGACUAGUGUCGUGGUUUAGCCCCAGCCGGCAGCUCAGAUCCACGCAGCCGCUCGCUCACUCACCCCCAAUGGGAUGGGAAAGAGAAUCGAAGGGUAAAAGUGAGAAAACUCAUGGGUUGAGGUAAAGGCAGUUUAACAGGGAAAGCAAAAGCCAUGUGCAAGCAAAGCAAAACAAGGAACUCAUUCCCUCCUUCCCACAGGCAGGAGGUGCUCAGCCAUCCCCAGGGAAGCAGGGCUCCAUCACACCCAACGGCGAUUUGGGAAGGCAAACGCCAUCACUCCCAACAUCCCCACUUCCCCCAGCUCUAUACGCUGAGCAUGACGCCAUGUGGUGUGGGACACCCCUGGGGUCAGUCGGGGUCAGCUGUCCCGGCCGUGCCCCCUCCCAGCCCCUUGUGCCCCCCCAGCCCCUCGCUGCUGGGGUGGGAGGCAGGAAAGGCCUUGGCUCAGCAGGGACGGAAACAUCCUGGGGUUGUCAACUCUGUUUCCAGCACAAACCCAAAACACAGCCCUGUACUGGCUACUGUGGAGAAAGCUAACUCGACCCCAGCCAAACCCAGCACAACUAGUUAGCUGCACACAGAAUUGCAAGGGAUCACUUUUUGUGAGUUUCCAGUUACUUCUUCGAUAAAUGAAGAGCGUGAUGUACAUUAAAGUUGUGUUCCAGUUAUAAAGUAGAAUGAGUAGAGACAAAAGAAAAGAUGUCAAUAGUCAUGGAAGGAGCUUAACAAAGCAAUCCAUAACUGCCAUGGCUAGUAAAAGAGCGUGGAAUUAGGAAGAAAAAAGUAUUAAAGAAGUAUUAUUUUGUUCAGUCUGUUCAGCAAUUGUUUGGCCCUUUUAUGGAACUAGACAGGAAGCCAACUGAAGAAGCACGAUCAUGACCAUUAUUAGCUUUAGAAAUUCUUACAAAUAUAAGCUAGUUUCCAAUCACAACAAAAUCAAACUACUUUUCACAUUUUUAAUGAAAGAUUCUUGCAUUCCCCUGCUACCCAAUAUCUCAGAAAAUAAUAGGUGUACUGUGUUUUAGUACACCUUAUUCGCAGAGUGCCCCCAACAAAUGAGGACAUUUACAACAGCCCAACCCCACAGUACACAAAUACAAUGCCAUCCCACUGAGCGGAGUUCAGCGGUGCUAACUGCAGGCUGCGGAGCUGCAAGCUAUCAGGUGUCACACUGGCAAACGCUUUGGGGAAAAUCAGUGCGUGAACUCAGGAUUUAACCCAGUGAGUUGCAGUUGCACGGUAAAGAUGACAAAGGCUAUUUAUUCCUCAGAUCUGGAAUCUAAGCUAACCUCCAGGUGUAGCGCAGCAAGAAAUUUUCACUGCAGUCAAGUGAGGCACAUUAGACAAAUUACAGAUCUGUUUCACCUCCCUCUGAACUUUGAGUCUGAGCUUACACUGAGUUGUCAGGAGUAUUACUCAAACUUGCAAUUUCUACAUUUUGCCAUUUAACUUAAAGAAUUUUUGGUACCUGUAGAGUUUUAUGGUCAUGAAUGAGGAACUCUGAUACAAGAGGCUGGGUUUCCAGGUCUACAGAGAGACAGAGACAGUUUUUAGUAAGCUUUUCAGUGUACUGCUGCUCCUGGCUCUUAACCUGCCUCUGCAUCAGCAUUGUUGCUACAACCCCAGCCAUUCCUGAGGGAAGAGGCUUCCAGCGAUAGUGAAUUAAUGAUCCUGGAAAUGGCACCGUGGCCUAGGCAGAGAAACAACACUAUUUCUACUGUUAUCUGCAGCAGUUUUAAAAGACUGUAAGUAAUAUAAAAUUAUACAGCAACUGCACCUAUAACAAACUCCUGUGCCCUGAUGGUGGACACUUUAUCUGAAUGAAAGGGGGUGGAGGGAACAGAGAGACCGCUGAGGGUUAGGGAGAAGGCAGUACACACUCUGCAGUGCCUGUUCAGAUCUGUACCGUAACUGUGCUUCACUAGCUGCUAGGGUUUGCUACUUGCAUAUCAUCUGUUAAAUGGGCUGAAGAAUCUAGAACGUUUGGGAUUUUUUACAGUUUGAAGGCUGAGAUGUCUGUGGUGGUUUGGAUGUGUACAUCGAUGAUGACUCAACAUUUAGACCUAAUUCAGGAAAGGAAAAUGAAGAACAGAGGCUUAUUGGGCUUAAUCAACUCAUACACAUUAAGGAGCACAUGGGAGAAAAUACUUGGUUUCAUCUGUGUUUUCCUUCAGUAAAUAGCACUAGUAGAUGCACAGUUCUUUUCUGUCAACAAUUUUAAACCAUUCUUCAACUAUGAGUCUCUUUCUGUGGGAAAGUAAGGCACGGAGUGGUGUAAACAGCUUGCCAAGCAACCAGCGGCAGAGCCAAAAUCAGAAUUCAGCCUGCCUGCCCACCUGCUUUCCUGCUACCCUUGCUGCCGAGCAAGUCGCCCAACGUGAGAGCUUUUCAGAUGGAAGAACAAAUGAGCAAACAAAGGAGUGAAAUUAAAUAUAAGCAAAGUGCAAAUGACCAGUACGAGAGCCCGAAGAAGCAAAAUGCAAAAAGAAACAGUAAAAACAUUAUAAAAUAAAUUUAGAGAUUACAAUACAGAAGUAAUUUCCAUUUUAACGCGUGACUGCUAAUGGUGUGUUAAUGAUUUUCCUCAUAUACACAGGGCUUUGGUCCAAAACUCUGAAUGAAACCAUUCAUGCUCUUCCGUGUAUCUUUUACCAGAAGAUAUCAGUGCUCCUUAGCCAAGAUGCUCCUUAGUGUCUUUCAUUUUGCUUGCCUGUUUCCACUGCGUGUCAUUUCAACACUGGGAAAGCAUCGGCUUGACAGCUUCGCAGGCUGAUGUUCUCUCUUUGCAGAGACGGGAAGGAUGUGCGGCAGCAGAGGAAGCUUGCUACAACAGCACUCAGCUGCACGCCUCAGCUCAGCUCUGCCCCGAAUGAACCCGCUGGCACAGCUCCGUCCCCCUUUGAUUGCGAGAGAGUCAGUUAGGGACAGCAGCAAUACUGGUUUCUGUGAUGCUUUUUCUGCUAGAAACUGGACUCAGGCACAGUUCACAUCAUCCAUCAGGCUCUGUUAACAUGGUAACAGUUUCUAGUCACUAAUGACCUGGGCUGGAUUUGACUGGGCAACCGGCCAUAAACAAGAAAGCCUCCCUAAAGCAUUACCAGCCCCUCUGAACCAUUCAACCCUCUGUAAUGCUGGGGGGGGGACUACAAUCCAAAAAACCACAAAAAACCCCGCAAAACCCACUUUUUAAAAUAAAGCUUCUCACAACUGACAGGGAAGCAGCCACCCCCGCACACACCUUAUUCACUCACUGCACUGAACUGGCAUUCCUUCAAGAGCUGGGAAGGGCCCAGAGCUGCUGAUUCAAAGACAUUUGGAAGAAGAACUCAAAAAUCAAGGUUUUUGUUCCUUUUUGGCUUCUUGCUUCUUUCCUUGGCCUGCUCUGCCUGCCCAUGCUGAAUGUCAAUCAGCAGAGCAAUAGCACCUUUGCAAAGAAGUCCCGAGUAUCUUGGCAAAUACGUUAACAAGCAUGUGAAAAGGCCCAAGGUUUCCACAAGUCCAAAGAAGAAAAGGUUGCUUUAGAGUGGUGGCGGCUAAGCGACAGACGGGGACAAAGGGUCAGGAAUCAACAAAGUUACACAAUCUUGUCUAAACUAUAGCAGACACAGAGGUAUCUUUUUCAGAAAAGACUUCUAAAUGACCCUUGUAGUGCAUCCACAGCUUAUUUUCAGAGACAUUUGCUUACAUCAAAUACCCCUGGACAAAUUCCCACAAGGAAAUUGCCAGAAUCAGUUGCUAUCUGCACUUGGCAGAGAAUUGCGUCUUAUGUCAAAGCGGUUGUGAUCAACCCAAAGCAUUUCUCAAAAAAGGCAGUUGCAUUUUUAUUCAAGUCUCUGCCACCCUGUAAUUGACAGCUAUUUGAUGUUCAGUGCCAUCUUGGAAUGACUAACAGCUCAAAAGUUUAUUACGAAUUUCUUAUGAACCUGUGGUUAGGACCAGCCUAAGUGAGCAAACAGAAGAAACUGAAUUGAGUUCAACAAAUUCAGGUCUCCUUCUUCGAUGGCCCGAUGAAACUGGAUGAUCUUUUAUAAUCACUGGGAAUCUGUUUCUUUUGCAACCUGUCAGUCUGACAGCCACAUUUAAAAAGGAGCUGUUUUUUUGAUGAUUACCAUAUGAAGCUCUAAGUGACUGAGCAUUUCAUCUUUCUGUUUUAGCAAGCAAAUGGUGUAUUUACUAUGUUUAAUAAGAUUUCCAAGGCCACUGUCUCAGGAUAUUCCCUACAAUUGUUUAAAGUAUUAAUAUAACACUUUGAAUCCUAAAAAUAAAUGCAAUGGUUUUAAGAUGGCUGGUCAAAUUCUGCAGCUACAUUGAUUAAAGUCCUAAACAAUUCUGUUCACUUCAUGAAAUUCAUUGCAGUUUCAAGCACCUGUAACAGGGAAAAGAAUUUACCCUUUUUUUUUGUUUUUUUUUGCAUCGCUAAAACAGAACGAGAAAACAAGAGCACUUAGUAGUGCUAAUAUGAACCUUAACUUUGUCUCCAUUGGGAUGAGGCAUACUGUAACAAAAAGAUUUAAUCUUUCAAGGCUAAAUCAUGUUCAGCUAUCCCUGUUGCGCAGGCAGGGUAGGCCUGUCAGAGAAGUAUGAGAAGAGGUUUGGUUGUUCUUUGGAUUUCUUCAAGUUUCCUGGUAGAUCCCACCGCAACAGGAAACUGGGGAGUUGAGCAACAGAUCUGGCACAAUAACCUAAUUGAUCUCUCAAUUAUUUGUACUAAAGAAAACUAAAGAUAGCAAAAGGAACUGGAGGAGUCAGGAUAUGCUGGCUUAUGUGUGCGUUGUAGAAAUGAUUAGCUAAGGCAAAGAACAUCAGAUGGAAUAAUGUCCCUGCAUGAUUAUCUUCCAACUACUCUGAUUAGUGACAAAUAGUAGAGAGCUGGAGAUCUAUACAAAUGUCAUUAGACCAAGGGUUGUAAUGUGAUUUAGUGACGUGGCUGCAGUGAUAGCUGGUUCCCUUGACACAGCAAAACAAAUGGGGGUUUAGCAUUGUUGGUUCUCUGCUGUGCUAAAAAGCAAGCAUCCGACAUAAAUGUUGGUCUGUACGAGAAGGCAAGCAAGGGGCUGAUGCUUAUCAGCAUCACUGUGUAUCAAACCAAUGACUUGAACUGGCAUAAGGAGAGUCAGGCCCUAAGAUAAAAUGUACUUCAGAACACUGCAACAGUGCAAUGCAGUUUGAUCUUUCCAGCACACCAUAAUAAAGAUUAAUUCCUUUUCCCACUGUUCCCCUUCCUGCUUUUCUUUCACUCCCAUCACCUUGCUUUGUAUUUGACUCUCACAAGCCAGGCUCUCCCUGGUUUCUCCAGGUGGGGCUUGCUGGAGAACACUCCCUGCAGUGGCAGCGGCCAGCAGCUCCCGCUGCACAGCUUUGUUUCGGGGGAU